AACGAACGCUGGCGGCAUGCCUAACACAUGCAAGUCGAACGAGACCUUCGGGUCUAGUGGCGCACGGGUGCGUAACGCGUGGGAACCUGCCCUUAGGUUCGGAAUAACUCCCCGAAAGGGGUGCUAAUACCGGAUAAUGUCUUCGGACCAAAGAUUUCUCGCCUUUGGAUGGGCCCGCGUUGGAUUAGCUAUUUGGUAGGGUAAAAGCCUACCAAGGCGACGAUCCAUAGCUGGUCUGAGAGGAUGAUCAGCCACACUGGGACUGAGACACGGCCCAGACUCCGACGGGAGGCAGCAGUGGGGAAUAUAGGACAAUGGGCGAAAGACUGAUCCAGCAAUGCCGCGUGAGUGAUGAAGGCCGUAGGGUUGUAAAGCUCUUUUACCCGGGAUGAGAAUGACAGUACCGGGAGAAUAAGCUCCGGCUAACUCCGUG
rnacentral:rRNA from 1 species